rnacentral:lncRNA from 1 species
AGGACCCAGGGUACACAGGGUGGGUGGCUAUUCUCCAGAAAUGUCAGUUUCUGGGCAGGGCUUAGGUGUCUGCAGUCCCUAGUCCCACCCCUGGCCUUGCAUUCCAGCUCAGCGGGUGGAAGGUAUAAAUUUCAGCUGCUCUCAGCCCUGCUGUGUUUUUCCAAAGCCUUCCAACAGCAACAUGAAGUUGGCAGCCUUCCUCCUCCUGUGAUCCUCAUCAUCUUCAGCCUAGAGGUACAAGAGCUUCAGGCUGCAGGAGACCGGCUUUUGGGUACCUGCGUCGAGCUCUGCACAGGUGACUGGGACUGCAACCCCGGAGACCACUGUGUCAGCAAUGGGUGUGGCCAUGAGUGUGUUGCAGGGUAAGGACAGAUGAAGAGUUAUCUUAAGGAUCAUCUUUCCCUAAGAUCGUCAUCCCUUCCUGGAGUUCCUAUCUUCCAAGAUGUGACUGUCUGGAGUUCCUUGACUAGGAAGAUGGAUGAAAACAGCAAGCCUGUGGAUGGAGACUACAGGGGAUAUGGGAGGCAGGGAAGAGGGGUUGUUUCUUUUAAUAAAUCAUCAUUGUUA